rnacentral:tRNA from 1 species
AGCCUCGAGGUGUAAAACACAUUAGAUUGCAAAUCUAAAGAGGCAGGCUAGUUGCCUGCCGGGGCUU